GACGAGGGGUGCAAGCGUUAUUCGGAAUUAUUGGGCGUAAAGGGUGUGUAGACGGUGCCUUAAGUCUAUUGUUAAAUCUCCUGGCUUAACCAGGAACAGGCGGUAGAUACUGGGGUGCUAGAGGGUGGAAGAGAGAAGUGGAAUUCUCGGAGUAGCGGUAAAAUGCGUAGAUCUCGAGAGGAACACCAAUGGCGAAGGCAGCUUCUUGGUCCAUUUCUGACGUUGAAACACGAAAGCGUGGGGAGCAAACAGG
rnacentral:rRNA from 1 species